rnacentral:lncRNA from 1 species
GAGCAGUAAAGUGACCCAGAGACAGUGGGCCAUUGGACACAUGGGCCUGUCAAUCUGAAAGUCAAGGCUGAGGAAGAAUAUUAUCCAAAUCUGUAAAAUCAUGGGAUCUUGGAAAAUAAGACUGGCGUACUUAAUUGGCAUAACAAGUAUCACCCGCAGCUCUUCUCAGAAAUGUUGGUAUUGAUGCGGGCUCGGCGAUGCAGAGUCGAAAGAAAGAUUUCUUGGACUCUCAAGCAUCUACUCUGUGCCAAGCACGAGGCUGGGCUAGAGAUGCAAAGAUAAGUAAGACAGUCUCCUCCUUCAAGGAAGCACGUGACUCUGCUCAUGGCUCCAUAGCAAUUUUC